GACGUAGGGCGCGAGCGUUGUCCGGAUUUAUUGGGCGUAAAGAGCUCGUAGGCGGCUUGUCGCGUCGAAUGUGAAAUCUCAGGGCUCAACCCUGACAUUGCAUUCGAUACGGGCAGGCUCGAGUUCGGUAGGGGAGACUGGAAUUCCUGGUGUAGCGGUGAAAUGCGCAGAUAUCAGGAGGAACACCGGUGGCGAAGGCGGGUCUCUGGGCCGAUACUGACGCUGAGGAGCGAAAGCGUGGGGAGCGAACAGG
rnacentral:rRNA from 1 species